UGGGAACGGCAUUGUAUCUGUCAUUUCCCGAUAAGCCCGGUGGAUUGCUCGAAUGGGUAGGAAGAAGCUUCAACCUCUAAAAACUCCUGCCUUCUCUGUGCUCUCUCCACUUCAGACUUCACAUUCAAGCUCUGUUCAUGGUGGGCUGUUUCGGCUUUCUGUCGUAAAGCGCAAGGAUUGAUCUGUGAAGCUAAUUAAUCUUCUUCAACGAGGGUCACAGAUCUGUCACUUUUGGCUGCUUAUAGACAAAGAUCUUUGAGCAUCCAAUCGGUGAAGAAGAAAAGACCAGAAGAAGCAGGAGAAGGAAAGAAGAGAGACAAAACAAUGCAGGAGAAAAAUAUAAUCUUUUAAGACCCUGACACCUGUUGCAUUGCUUCAGUGCUGAGGCUGCCAUUACAGGCUUUCCUUUUGAGAGAGAGAGACCUCUGUGAACUGCAAAAAGCUUACACGAGUGAGAAGCUGAGAAGUGGCUUUAUCUUUCCUGACUUGGACUGUGAUUUAUCGAAUAAUAAAAAAAGGUCUUUUUAUCACUACACAGCCAAAGUACUCUUAUGAAUUAUCGUCAUCAAUGCAUAGGAUACAGCAACUUCUUCUAGCCUCUUCAUUUCUCUUCCUCUAGAAACCCACACCCCAUAUUCAGCUCUCCUUCUCUCCGUAGUACAAAAAGUGAGAAAGCUAGCUAUCUAGCUAGUAGGGAAGCAAAAGCUAGAAAAAAGGAAAGCGGAGAAAUUUUUGAAGGGUCUUUGUUGUUUUGAGUUCUUGUUUUGACAAAGGAAUGAAAGUGCUAUGGAGGUGGAGGAGAUUCAGACACAACCCUGUAAGUUCUCUAGAGUUGGUAAUGGCAGAAAUGACAAUAGCAGAAUAGGCCAAAAAGGGAGCGGUGAACACCAAUACCCAGAUGACGAAGAAGAUGGAGAGCGAAAAAGGCCUAAUCUUGGCAGUGGAAGCAUUAGUGGUGCCAGCGGUGCGGGUGGCGAUGCCGGCAGCGCCAAUCGGCUUCGUGGGUGGCACCACUCGUCACGCAUAAUUAGGGUUUCUAGGGCUUCCGGUGGGAAAGAUCGACACAGCAAGGUAUGGACCUCAAAGGGUCUAAGGGAUCGAAGGGUGCGGUUAUCUGUGACCACUGCAAUACAAUUCUACGAUCUCCAAGAUCGGUUAGGAUAUGAUCAACCAAGCAAAGCUGUAGAAUGGUUGAUUAAAGCAGCUGCAGAUGCAAUAAACGAACUCCCUUCGCUCAAUGGUUCUUUCCCUGACACUCCAAAGCAAUUAAGCGAUGAGAAAAGAACCAGUGAUGGUCCUGAACGAGGUCCUGAUUCAGCUGAUGUGGAGCUCGAAGACCCCAAUUUUAACCCGAACCAGAACCAGCGUCUUUCAUUGUCUAAAUCUACUUGCAGUAGCGCUUCAGACACAAGCAAGGGGUCAGGGCUCUCACUUUCCAGGUCCGAUAUUCGCGUUAACCGUGCUGAGGCUCGCGGGAGAGCAAGGGAAAGAGCUGCCAAGGAGAAAGAGAAAGAUAAGGAAUCACUCAUUGCCCAUCACCAGAACAUGAACCCCAUUUCUCAAAGCUCCACAUUUACUGAGCUUUUAACAGCUGGGAUUAGUAGCGUAAGAAAUAACAACAGCAACAACGAUGGUGCUACUACUACUAGUCCUUCUGGUUCUGAGGCUAACUUGUUUCACAACAAGGCAGUCCCGGCGAGGCAAUGGCCCUUGACUCCUAUGGACUACUUUGGUACGGAGCUUUUAGGGCCGUCCUCGUCGAGGACAACCCACCAUCCUUCUGGGUUUUCAGGGCAAAUCCAGUUGGGGAAUUCAAUCCCGCAAGCAAUGUCAAUGUCGAUCCCUCCAUUUCAUUUCACGGGAGAGCAUCACCAGGAGCAAUUGCAGCAUUUUCCUUUCCUUUCCGAUCAUUUGAUCCCAGUGGCCACAACACAGUCGGGUCCCGGUGGGGACUAUAAUCUGAACUUCACCAUCUCUUCUGGCCUAGCUGGUUUCAAUAGGGGGACCCUUCAGUCCAAUUCAUCAUCACCGUCUCUUUUGCCUCACCUACAGAGGUAUUCGUCUUCUCCCUUAGACGGCUCAACAAAUGUACCUUUUUUCAUUGGUGCAGUUGGACCACCGCCACCACAAUUGGAGCAUCAUCACCAACAUCAGUUCCCACCACCUGGGUCGCAGCUCUGCUACGGAGAUGGAAGCAGGCAUUCUGACCAGAAAGGCAAAGGGAAGAACUGAAAACUGUUUGGAAACCUUCCAUCUUUUUCCUGAAUGAGAACUGCAUCUGGAUACAGCUACAUAUGUAUAACAUGGUGAUGUGUUCUGGAUAUUCUUGUUUUAGCGUUAUGGCUUCAUUUUCCCUACUCUUAACUUGAAAACACACUUCGUCCCUUUGCCUAAAAAAACAAAGAGGCUUGUUAGCUGGAGACUUGGGAGAUAACUUCACAGGCUUAGUUUUCCAAUUUAAUGGUAAAUUCCUCGUCUAGAAAGUGUAUGGAGUUCUUCAACCACUUUUUUGUCAAUUGUUUGCCAACUUCCGCUGUCAGUAGCUGAAGAUUUUGCUGCAAAAGAAGGAAGAUCAGGAUGACGUACUGCUGAAAUUAGAGGCAACUAGGAGCUCCGUCAAUGGAGCAUACCAUAGGAAAGCAAAGAUGGCAAGCCAGCAUAAGCCUGGCAAUGGGAGAUGCAGCUUUAGCUAAAGUGUUGGUGUUGAGCUUUAUCCAUUUUGAAGUGGGUUCAGGUUGCAUUCUCAUAUGUCAGGAUGCAUGUUAUGUAUGCGUGCAAAAAGCAGUCGUGUGUUUUUUUGAAAUAUGUAAAACAAUUCGUUUGAAGUGAUUCUUUUUUUCCCAUUGUUAAUGAUCAUUCUGAAAUUGUCUAUACCAUUAGUUUGAGCUCUUGGAAGCUAAUUCAGACUUAAAUGCUUCUAUGAUCACCACCAUUAUUCAUCUUCCCUCAACAGGAAAUGACAAUCUUUCAUACAUUUUUCAA